rnacentral:lncRNA from 1 species
AAAGUCCCUUCAGCCCACUUCUUGAAGCACUGACUCUGUUACCCACACGUUUGCCUCAAUGCAGUUCCACUCACUGGGUGAAAGGAAGACACAGAGCACCUGCACAGCCCAUGUCUGGCUUUUUUGGCCACAAAACAGGAUUUGCACUCCCUCCAGCAGGUGGUAGCAGCCUCCUUCAAGCUGCACAUCACUCCUGCCUGCUGCUGCAGAACUGCUGCUGAUAGUUCAUGUCCCUGCCUGCCCCUGACCUCACUUGAUCUCCUCACCCUCUGCAGCACGGCUGAGCUCCCCCGAGGAGGAAGAUCUUCUGUUUAGGUCCAGAGUAUGCACUACAUUUACCAGCAGUGUGAAUCACAGCAGGAGGAGGCAGUGGCACAACGUCACAAGGACACACGACAUGUCUUGCUUUUGUAUGUGAUUUAUUCCUAAUGGUUUUGUAAUCAGUCAUGUUCUAUCCAUCACAGAUGGAUAAUUCAGGGAUGUGCUUCCUAAAUACAAAAUUCAAGAUCUAAUGCCUUGUCUAGGCAGUAGGAUUAGCUGAAGCAGUGACAGGUCGCAGACAGGCUCUAUCUUUAAAUGAAAUGGAAACUCAGCCUCCUUUGUAUUUCCACAAGGAGUCCUCUAUGCCAGUGUAACAGGACAGUUUUGUGGAUGCAAUUACAUUAUCCACUGAUAUAUGGCCUCUGCUUAUUAGCAAUCGAAGGAGGUAAGGAAAAGCUUAAAGACAGGCUAAAAAAAAAAAAUAAUCCCAUGGCUUUCCCAGCUGUGGCUUCCAUACCAGGUAUGAAAGAUGAAGAUUUAGGUUUAUUAUAAGCCACCUAAAAAUGCAGCAAUGAACCAAAGUGUUUGGCUAACACACUUUAGCACCUGUGUUUGAGUAUCUGUUUGGGUGUUGCUGGCUUUACAGCUGUAACUGUGACUUGACUAUUUGGUUUUUUUUUUUUGUAGUGGUUUUUUUGCACAGUUGGGUGUAGACCUGUGAAACAGGCCCUUUGCUUGAGAACGUGCCAAGGCACAAAACUUCUGCUUUUCACCACUAAAUCUCACUUAAAACUCUUCCGUGCCAGUUCGGUUUGGAGCCCUCUCCAUCCAGGAGAGCAGACAGAAGACU